UGGGGAAUAUUGCGCAAUGGAGGAAACUCUGACGCAGCAACGCCGCGUGAAUGAUGAAGGCCUUAGGGUUGUAAAGUUCUGUCUUCUGGGACGAUAAUGACGGUACCAGAGGAGGAAGCCACGGCUAACUACGUGCCAGCAGCCGCGGUAAUACGUAGGUGGCAAGCGUUGUCCGGAUUUACUGGGCGUAAAGGAUGCGUAGGCGGACAUUUAAGUCAGAUGUGAAAUACCCGAGCUCAACUUGGGUGCUGCAUUUGAAACUGGGUGUCUAGAGUGCAGGAGAGGUAAGUGGAAUUCCUAGUGUAGCGGUGAAAUGCGUAGAGAUUAGGAAGAACACCAGUGGCGAAGGCGACUUACUGGACUGUAACUGACGCUGAGGCAUGAAAGCGUGGGGAGCAAACA
rnacentral:rRNA from 1 species